GCCUAUGCUGCAUGCUUUGGGGAGAUGCUCUCUAAUUAUUUAUCCGUUGUCUUCCCCAAACAGGGCAUCUUUGUUCCUUGAACCUGAAAGACCUAACCUAAAUCUUCUAUUCAGUCAGUUUCAAAAUCUCCACCCAAUCCACCUCCUCUGAGAAGCAUGUCUGAUUCCCCAGCAUGUCUGAAGUCCUGUAUUCCUAGGAUUUGGGAACACGGUGACCUAACGUCUGGUGUUGUUCUUUGCUGGACCCUGCACAUCAGAACUGUCUUUUCAUCUGCCUACAUCUUCUCCAAGGAAGAUUACAGGUCUUAUACUUUUUCUGUAGCUCUCACUGUGUUCAGGCCACCGCUGCAGACAUAGGAGCUGAAGCUCUUUAUCAAAAUGUUGCCAACAAUGAAAUGAAUAUUGACGUUCCCUCCCCACUUCCCCUCUUCUGUGCAGCCAUGUUUUCACGAGAUUCUCCAGGGCAUUGAGAGGUUUUUAUGACUCUGAAUCCACAAUGCCAGGCAAAGUACCCCACAGGCACUGCUGCUGCUCAAGAUAAUGAUGCAGAUAAUGACGGUACAAGGUGAUGUGAUAAAGGUGGGUAUCCUUCUGCGUGAGUUGGAGAAGUCUCUUAGCAGGAGGGCUGCUGAUCACAGAGGUCAAAAUAGAACUGGGGAAGAAGAGCUACCUAAGUACAAGAAAUUGCAACAAAAUAUAUUAUGAAACAGAAGAAAAAGGCAUGUGGCAACAGAUGAGAGUAGGAAAAAGGAAAAGAGGAAAUGGAACUAAUAGAGGUAAACAGUUCAAAGUUCUAUUUACCGGUGAAUAAAAAUCUUCUUUGGAGACUACUGGA